UACGUAGGUGGCGAGCGUUGUCCGGAUUUACUGGGCGUAAAGAGCGCGCAGGCGGUCGUUCAAGUCGCGUGUGAAAGCCCCCGGCUCAACUGGGGAGGGUCACGCGAUACUGAUCGACUCGAAGGCAGGAGAGGGAUGUGGAAUGCCCGGUGGAGCGGUGAAAUGCGUAGAGAUCGGGCGGAACACCAGCGGCGAAGGCGGCAUCCUGGUCCUGUUCUGACGCUGAGGCGCGAGAGCGUGGGGAGCAAACUGG
rnacentral:rRNA from 1 species